rnacentral:lncRNA from 10 species
CUUGAAUGCAUAAGACAGAAUUUCUACGUUAAACAAUAGAAUUCCAACUAUUGUCAUUUUGAGCCGAGAUAGAGCCACUUCAUUCCAGCCAGGCAACAGAGGGAGAUUCCAUCUCAAAAAAAAAAAGAAAAGAAAAAAAAACAAAAUUGCAUUGGGAUAGCUGAUUCAGAUAUAAUUAUUAUAUUCCUUCUUUAAUGACUAUUUUUAAAUAAUUCAAUAACUAAAUAAAGUAGAUAAAACAUGAACCAGAGAUUGAAAAUGUUCUCCGAAACCAAAUUAGGAUUAAUUCACUUUUGUGCAACUGUAGGAAAAAAUAUAAAUCUCACAGUAGCAUAAAGCUGGUGGGCUUGGUGUGUGCCUGUAGUCCCAGCUACUUGGGAGGCUGAGGCAGGAGAAUUGCUUGAACCCAGGAGGCAGAGGUUGCAUGGAACUAUGUUUUCAAGACACAGAGGUAGCAUAAAAGCUUAAAACCUCAUAUUGGUCCAUACCUCUUUAGGAAAGUAUCAUGCCUCUAUAAAAUUGCGAUGGAGACUGAGGACAUUGGAGAAAUUGUCUAGCAUGGGAUUCUCUGAAUUCAGGCACAUUCCAAACAAGGAAAAUGAUGCUGAAUUUGUUAUUUUUAGAAUUAUUCAAAUUGAUGGAAGACAAAAAUUCAAAGGCUAUCCCCGGUAAUGUUCAAGGAUAUGCCUAAACAAGUUAUGUAACAGAAAUUUAAAAAGCAGAGAAUUUUCAAUACAGAACAGAGCAGUGAAGUUUUCAA